rnacentral:rRNA from 1 species
AAUAGAUACCCGGGUAGUCCACGCCGUAAACGAUGUCGACUUGGAGGUUGUGCCCUUGAGGCGUGGCUUCCGGAGCUAACGCGUUAAGUCGACCGCCUGGGGAGUAUGGCCGCAAGGUUAAAACUCAAAUGAAUUGACGGGGAGCCCGCACAAGCGGUGGAGCAUGUGGUUUAAUUCGAUGCAACGCGAAGAACCUUACCUACUCUUGACAUCCAGAGAACUUAGCAGAGAUGCUUUGGUGCCUUCGGGAACUCUGAGACAGGUGCUGCAUGGCUGUCGUCAGCUCGUGUUGUGAAAUGUUGGGUUAAGUCCCGCAACGAGCGCAACCCUUAUCCUUUGUUGCCAGCGAUUCGGUCGGGAACUCAAAGGAGACUGCCAGUGAUAAACUGGAGGAAGGUGGGGAUGACGUCAAGUCAUCAUGGCCCUUACGAGUAGGGCUACACACGUGCUACAAUGGCAUAUACAAAGAGAAGCGACCUCGCGAGAGCAAGCGGACCUCAUAAAAGUAUGUCGUAGUCCGGAUUGG